rnacentral:lncRNA from 1 species
AUGUAAAUCGUUAAGAACUUGGUGAUAUUCCUUCCAUCAAACCUCCCAAUCUUGUCCACCACAACUUGUAAAGCCUUAGUGGUGAUCCUAUCUUCUCCAUGCACUUGUUGCCUUUUCUCCAUAAAUUGAGCAAAUGCCUUGAAUAAAUCAUGGGCACCUAUACCUCCUAGUAAUCCAAACCCUGGAUUUUGAUCCCCCAUUUUAACUUAUUGAGGACAUUAGU